UCCUCUCCCCACCCCCAUCAUCCUCUCUCACCUCCUCCUUCUCAUCUUCCUAGAGAGUGGGGGCGACUCAGUGGGAUCCAGACACAGUGAGACAAAUGCUACCCAGGCCGGUAACCAAGGAAGUGGUUUCCUUAGCAACAGAAUCUGCAGGCACGCGCUCCGCUGCCCAUCCCUUAAUAAGUACGGAGGGUGGGGACAAGCCUGGAGAUAGGGAGGUCAGUAAAGACACUGCUGUACUGGUCUUCUUGACAGGGGACAGUGGUCAGGGACUAGCUCAAUGCCUGGCACUUUGAGAAUGUUUAAAAAUAUGAGAGUUGGAGGGGUUGUGGGGUCAGAGAGAGGCAGAGAGAGUGGAGAUAGCUGGGGGAGGAAUCCACAGAACUUGAUGACAGACUGGAUGCAGGGAGGGGGAGGUGGCAAAGAAGCCAAAGGGACACCAAGAUACUGUCUGCGCAUCUCCAGAAAGGUGUCUUUUGAUGGAGAUGGAGAACACGGAACCGAGGCGCAGAUUGGAUGGGGUGGGGGAAGCUGACAUAUCUCCAUGUCCCGAAGAGCUCACCAUCCAGUUGGGGUGACAUUGGGAGAGGGAACGUGGAAACAGACACAGAAAUAUCUCAAUUUUUUUCUAUAAAUUGGCAAUAGGGAACCCAGGAGAAAAAGCACAGCACUGAGGAUGGUGAGAGGCUCCAGGACGCUGAUGGUGUGGUGCAGCCCAUUCAUACUGGCUCUCAAAAGCACAUCUCUUCUCAAAGUCAUACUCAGUGCCAUCACAUUGCUAGCUUGAAGUUGGCUGUGGUGAGAAUAUUUACACCAUGGAAAUUGGCAACUGCUACAAAUCAGGCUAAAUGGACUAAGGCCACUGGGUCCUGAUGGGAGGCUGACAGGAACCUGACCUGGGGAAAAAUCACACCCCAUUCCUCCUCUUGGUUUGCAUCCUGGAAUGCCAGCCAUCCACCCUUCUUCUGCCUCCUAGGGCUGUAGAGAAAAUGUUUAAUUAAUAAACACAACUUCAAAACAAGCUAAAGUUAAAGAGCAAUGUUUAAGUGCUAAUUAUUGUUAUCAGAGGCUACUUUCCACGGCAUUAAAUGCAUGGAUUUGGUAAUUGUUAGAUAAUGCCCAAAGAGGAACCAGGGGUAUUAGGAUUGCCUCUUUCCCCAGAAAAGGACCCAGUUCCUAAGCCACAGGAUGGCCAUCUCAUCGGUCUCGGAGCCUGGAUGAGAUAUUUUUACCUUCCCAGGCUCAAGUCCCAGAUCUGCCACUUGCCAGGUGUGUGGCCUUACAGAUAUUAUUUUAUAGUCCUGAACAUCAGUUUUCUGUUCUAGAAAAUGAGACAUCUAUAUGGAGUGCCUGACCCCUGAAGGGUUUUAAUUUUUGUCGUCGUCAAUAUUAGUAUUUCUCCCACCAUGGGCUGAGCAUUUUCUUUUGGUUUUUGAUCAGCUUUACUGAAGUAUAUUUCACAUAUAGCAGAAUUUUCCAGUUUCAGCUGUAUAAUUUGAUGAAUUUUUAAGUCGCCAUAUAUAGUCAUGUCACCACCACCAUCAUGCUAUGAAAUAUUACCAUUUCCCCCCAAAUUCUUUGGUACCCUUUGCAGUUGACUCCUUCCCUCCACCCCUCCAUAGUCUCCUGCAAAUACUAGUCUGCUUUCUGUCAUUAUAAUUUCUCAGGAUUUCAUGUAAAUUGAAUCAAACAGGUCUUGCUUCUCUCAGCUAGCAUAAGGCUUUUGAGAUUUAUUUUCAUUGUUGCAUAUACAAAUAGUUCAGUUCUUUUCACUGCCGAGCAUUAGUCCAUUGUAUGGACAUACCAAAAAUUUUAAUGCAUUCACUAGUUGAUAGCAGUUUGAAUUCCGUCCAGUUUUUGGCUAUUUGAACAAAGCUGCUACAAAUGUUCACAUGUGUGUCUUUGUGUGGACAUAAUAUUUUCAUUUUCUUCAGUAGGUACCUAGGGAUGCACUUGGCUGCCAGGUCACAAGUUAAAUAGAUGUUUAGCUUUAAUAAGAGAUGCUGCCAAACUUUUCCAAAGAGGCUGUACCAUUUUGUAUUCCCUCCAGGAGUGUAUGAGAUUUCAUUUGUUAACAUCUUCACCAAUCCUUUGUAUUGCCAGUCUUUUUACUUUCUGAUAUUCUCGUGGGUAUGAGUGGUAUCUCACUGUGGUUUGAAUUUGCA